UUCGAUUUUCAAUGCAAAAUUUAUUAAUUUUAUGCAAAAUUUAUUUUCUAUUGGUUGAAAUAUGGUUAGGUGUAUAGGUAGUAGUGUUUUUUUAUAGGAAAUGUACAAAAUUAAUUGUUUUCUUAAUCCGUGUGCCGAAACCUAAAACGACAUUUAUAAUGAUACAGAGGGAUUAUUAUUUUUUGAGAUUUAAUUAGAUAAAACUCUUGAUAUUGAUAACCUAACCGAUGAUAUAUGUCAUAAUCAUUAUUCUUUCUCAGGUUUGCUGUUAAAAAAUUAAAGUAUGUAUGGUAUGAUGAGAAAACAACGUUAUUAUCUUGAAAAAAUUGAAACCUCAUCGACUUUUCACAUUAUGUCGAUCUUGGUGUAUUUUUUUCUCCGAAACCUCAUAAAAACGAGACAUAUGCAUGUUCUUCUUUUUGUAACCCUCCUCUUUUCUUCGGAAGAGACUCGCACCACCAACGCGUAACAAUAACUAAAUCUUGCUGUGAAUCUUGUGAAUCAGCUUCUUCAGCGGCUUCGAGAUGUAUUCGCCUUAUGAUGAUAGUGACUCUUCAGUUGAAAGCCAGAUCCUUCUGAUGCUUGGAGCUGUGACGGUAAGUAUUGGCGCAGGUCUGAUAUUUUAUUGCGUAAUUAGAUUAUUAAGAAUGUAUCGUUCUACUACUCAAUCUCCGGUGCCAAAUGCUGGAGACAUAGAGUUAGGACAUCAAGAAGUACAACUAGCUCCUGUGCUAACCGGGCCUCGUAGUCUGGUGGUAAAGGAACCUCGGCUGAGGUGCCCGCCACCCGAGUUCGAGCCCCGGCCACGAGGGGUAUUUACAUGGGAUGCCUCUCGCCCUCCAGACCACUUCGCGUAACCAGGGGCCCUUAAGUGGACGCUUAAAAAUCCUGUAAUGGCUUGGGCUUAGGCCCGGUGGGCUAGUCGAUCACGCAAAGUGGUCGGAUACUGGAUUAU